rnacentral:rRNA from 1 species
UACGAGGGGGGCAAGCGUUGUUCGGAUUUAUUGGGCGUAAAGGGUGCGUAGGCGGUUUGGCAAGUCUGAUGUGAAAUCUAUGGGCUCAACCCAUAGUCUGCAUCAGAAACUGCCGGGCUUGAGUAUGGGAGAGGUGAGUGGAAUUUCCGGUGUAGCGGUGAAAUGCGUAGAUAUCGGAAGGAACACCUGUGGCGAAAGCGGCUCACUGGACCAUAACUGACGCUGAGGCUCGAAAGCAUGGGGAGCAAACAGG